rnacentral:rRNA from 1 species
AGUGAACGCUGGCGGUAGGCCUAACACAUGCAAGUCGAACGGCAGCACAGGAGAGCUUGCUCUCUGGGUGGCGAGUGGCGGACGGGUGAGGAAUACAUCGGAAUCUGCCCAGUCGUGGGGGAUAACGUAGGGAAACUUACGCUAAUACCGCAUACGACCUUCGGGUGAAAGAGGGGGAUCGCAAGACCUCUCGCGAUUGGAUGAGCCGAUGUCGGAUUAGCUAGUUGGCGGGGUAAUGGCCCACCAAGGCGACGAUCCGUAGCUGGUCUGAGAGGGUGAUGGGCCACGAGGGCAAUGAGGAAGCGCCCAUACGGAUAGGGGAGGGAGGGGUGGGGAGUAUGGAACAAUGGGCGGAAGGCUGAUGAAGUAACGGGGUGUGAGGGAGGACGGACUUAGGAUAGUAAACAGUGUUAGCCUGUGAACAAGAGUGAGGGACGGUAAGGGGUAAGGAAGCACCGGCUAAGUACGUG